UUUCAGCUCCUGGUUUAGCCACGGUGGGACCAUGAAGCAGAGAUGGAUGGGUGCUCCUCUCCCUUUCUCCUCUGAAUUCAGUCCAGGGCCCCAGACGGAGGGAAGUGCUACCUACACCCUCUCUUUACAUUCUUUCUUAUUCACCAGACUAAGACACUCCCAGCGUUCAGACACCUGGCCAGCCCUCACCCAGCAAGAGGACAAAGCAAGGACUGGUGACAUCUCGACAAAUGAACAGAAGUGACCAGGUGUUCCUGAUGGACGUCAGGCUGGAUAAAUAGCCACCAGGUGGCGCUGCAUGCAGCACCGCAGGCUUCCUUUUCUGUGAGACAGAAACAAAUGGAUCACAUGGUACGUGGCUCUUGUGAAGAAGGGAAGCCAGAGCUCCUGCCCUGUCCCUGUCAUCCUCCUGCUCAUGUCCGGACCUCUCGGAGGAGACAGUCACUGGAGGUGCCUAAGUCCUGAUUCACAGUCCUGCUUCUCAUGUCCCUCAUUACGCUGUUUGAUAUCUGAUGCCUAGCCACAUUGAUCUGUGUCUUAUUGCUUUACCCAGAGCUGAUUAGAAGGCAAGAUAAUUGGCUUGUAUUAGCUGAUAAUGAACUGUGUUUAUGAGUCAGGAGUCUGCUUGCUCAGAGCAUCUGUCGUGCCCUGGCUUUCUCUCAGCGGGUUUUCACCCGUUGUUCCCACUCCUGGAUAGCUGGCUUCCAGGUGCCUGGAAGAAGUCAAAACUCUGUUCUAACGCAACUUCUCACAGGCCCUUCUUAGGGUCAGGGCCCGAGAGCUGCCUCAUCACCCUGGGACAUUGCAAACAAGAGAUAUGAGGUUUGUUAAGCCUUGUCUCCACGUUCAGCUAAUAACCCUUGCAACAGGCCAUGAGGCAUAUGAGGAAGUGUGUCAACAAGUCAACAAUCAAGGAACGUGCCACCACAUCGGCACAUGGUGUGGGCCCAGAUGGUGGGAAUGACUUGGGGGAUGACCAAGAUUAGGGGAGGUUGCACUCCAGCUGCAGGAUGUGAAGGGAGCAUCUGCCCCAUGUGUGAGAGAAACUGUAACCCCAGAGCCAAAGGAACCACAGGGCAGAGAUGAGCCCAUGAGACCCUGAGGGGAGAUGGCGGGCUGGCGAAGGCAUCUUGGCAUCCGAUGGUCUUUCUUUUAUUAGUGACAUGCUUCUGCUUCUAUGCUCAGAAGCAUUGUUGGAAUUCUCAGAAGAGCUUCUGGAUAAACGGAGGCAUCAUUUGAGCUCUCAAAUGGGGAAGUUCAGGACUUCUUCCUCCAUGUUCUCCCUAAGAUUUCCUCUGAAGAAAAAGUUCACUCCCAAAUAUUAGACUGCAGAAUAUGUCUUUGUAUGUUUCUCCACAGUCCCUGAAAUGGUCUGUUGUGACAGAUAGUCCAAAGACCUCUUUCUGCUAUAGGACAAGGAGAGAGUGAGGGCGUAACACUUUCCUUUCAUAACUUGCUGCCAAACCUGAUGACUUGAGUUCAAACCUCAGGAGGGAACCCACCUCUAGAAGUUGUCUUCUGACCUCCACAUUUUUUUUUGCCACAGCAUGCAUCUGUGCACAUACAAUUAUAAUAAAAUAAAAAUACAAUGACAACCACA